AACGAACGCUGGCGGCAGGCUUAACACAUGCAAGUCGAGCGAGGACUUCGGUCCUAGCGGCGGACGGGUGAGUAACGCGUGGGAACGUGCCCUUUGCUACGGAAUAGCCCUGGGAAGCUGGGAGUAAUACCGUAUGUGCCCUUCGGGGGAAAGAUUUAUCGGCAAAGGAUCGGCCCGCGUUGGAUUAGGUAGUUGGUGGGGUAAUGGCCUACCAAGCCGACGAUCCAUAGCUGGUUUGAGAGGAUGAUCAGCCACACUGGGACUGAGACACGGCCCAGACUCCUACGGGAGGCAGCAGUGGGGAAUCUUAGACAAUGGGCGCAAGCCUGAUCUAGCCAUGCCGCGUGAGCGAUGAAGGCCUUAGGGUUGUAAAGCUCUUUCAGUGGGGAAGAUAAUGACGGUACCCACAGAAGAAGCCCCGGCUAACUCCGUGCCAGCCGCCGCCGUAAUAC
rnacentral:rRNA from 1 species